UUAAAAGAUAAGCUAAGAUCAAGCUAAUGGGUUCAUACCCCGGAUAUGAGUAUUAAUCUCUCUUUUUAG
rnacentral:tRNA from 1 species